rnacentral:misc_RNA from 1 species
GAAAUGCGAUAAGUAAUGUGAAUUGCAGAAUUCAGUGAAUCAUCGAAUCUUUGAACGCACAUUGCGCCCGCCAGUAUUCUGGCGGGCAUGCCUGUUCGAGCGUCAUUACAACCCUCAGGCCCCCGGGCCUGGCGUUGGGGAUCGGCGGAAGCCCCCUGCGGGCACAACGCCGUCCCCCAAAUACAGUGGCGGUCCCGCCGCAGCUUCCAUUGCGUAGUAGCUAACACCUCGCAGCUGGAGAGCGGCGCGGCCACGCCGUAAAACACCCAACUUCUGAAUGUUGACCUCGAAUCAGGUAGGAAUACCCGCUGAACUUAAGC